UCGACCUCAGAUCAGGUAGGAAUACCCGCUGAACUUAAGCAUAUCAAUAAGCGGAGGAAAAGAAACCAACAGGGAUUGCCUCAGUAGCGGCGAGUGAAGCGGCAAGAGCUCAGAUUUGAAAUCUCACCUAGUGUGCGAGUUGUAAAUUGCAGGUUGGAGUCUCGGGUUAGACGUGUGUGCAAGUCCCUUGGAACAGGGYGCCACUGAGGGUGAGAGCCCCGUAKCGUGCAUGUCGACACCUGUGAGGCCCUUCUGACGAGUCGAGUUGUUUGGGAAUGCAGCUCUAAGUGGGUGGUAAAUUCCAUCUAAGGCUAAAUAUUGGCGAGAGACCGAUAGCGAACAAGUACUGUGAAGGAAAGAUGAAAAGCACUUUGAAAAGAGAGUGAAACAGCACGUGAAAUUGUUGAAAGGGAAGGGUAUUGGGCUCGACAUGGGAUUUACGCAUCGUUGCCUCUCGUGGGCGGCGCUCUGGGUUUUUCCUGGGCCAGCAUCGGUUUUCGUUGCAGGAYAAGGACAAUUGGAAUGUGGCUCCUCGGAGUGUUAUAGCCUUUUGUAGAUGCUGCGUAUGGGGACCGAGGGCUGCGGCGGACUCG
rnacentral:rRNA from 1 species